rnacentral:rRNA from 1 species
GAGUAGUAAAAGGUAAUAUCUAGAAACUCAAAAGAUUUGGCGGUAUUUCAUCUUAUUAGAGGAACCUGCUUAUUAAUUGAUGUUCCACAACUUUAACUUACUUUUAUGAGAUUAUUUGUAUACCGUUGUCAUGAAUCUACUAAAAAGUAAUUUUCGGGAGUUUAUAUAGAAUUAAUGUUAGAUCAAGGUGCAGUAUUUAAAAGAAAAAAGUGGGUUACAUUAUUUAUUAUGAAUGAAAUUUAUGUGUAGAUAAUUAAAGGAAAUGGGAUUUAAAAGUAAAACAGAAUAAUUAAAGAUUUUUUAUGAAUAAAGAUUCUGAAAUAUG